UAGAGUUUGAUCAUGGCUCAGGAUGAACGCUGGCGGUAUGCCUAACACAUGCAAGUCGUACGAGAGUUUUUAACUCUAGUGGCGGACGGGUGAGUAACACGUGAGAAUUUGCCUUUAGGAGGGGGAUAACAAUUGGAAACGAAUGCUAAUACCCCAUAUGCUUUCGAGUGAAAUGGAUUUAUAUUUAUCCGCCUAGAGAGAAGCUCGCGGCUGAUUAGCUUGUUGGUAAGGUAAGAGCUUACCAAGGCGACGAUCAGUAUCUGGUUUGAGAGGACGAUCAGACACACUGGAACUGAGACACGGUCCAGACUCCUACGGGAGGCAGCAGUGGGGAAUUUUCCGCAAUGGGCGAAAGCCUGACGGAGCAAUACCGCGUGAGGGAAGACUGCCUAUGGGUUGUAAACCUCUUUUUUCAGGGAGGAAUCAAUGACGUGUACCUGAAGAAUAAGCAUCGGCUAACUCCGUGCCAGCAGCCGCGGUAAGACGGAGGAUGCAAGUGUUAUCCGGAAUCACUGGGCGUAAAGCGUCUGUAGGUGGUUUAAUAAGUCAACUGUUAAAUCUUGAGGCUCAACUUCAAAAUCGCAGUCGAAACUAUUAGACUAGAGUAUAGUAGAGGUAAAGGGAAUUUCCAGUGGAGCGGUGAAAUGCGUAGAUAUUGGAAAGAACACCGAUGGCGAAAGCACUUUACUGGGCUA
rnacentral:rRNA from 1 species